rnacentral:tRNA from 1 species
CUUUAAGUAGCUUAUUAAAGCAUGGACCUUUUAAGUCCACGAUGGAAGUUUUUUCCCUUAGAGC